rnacentral:misc_RNA from 1 species
AAGUCGUAACAAGGUUUCCGUAGGUGAACCUGCGGAAGGAUCAUUAAAGAUUCGACCUUCGGGUCUAUCUUAUCUUCAGCUGUGCGCUUUUGCUGCACGCUGUUGAACCUCACACACCUGUGCACACUUCGGUUGCAGUUAGUUAACUCUAGCUGCUUCCGCUUUUACAUUUAACUACUAAGUCUUGAAUGUCAAAUACAAUAAAAUAACAACUUUCAACAACGGAUCUCUUGGCUCUC